rnacentral:rRNA from 1 species
CACCUUCGAAGGCUAAGUACUCCUGACUGACCGAUAGUGAACCAGUACCGUGAGGGAAAGGUGAAAAGCACCCCGACGAGGGGAGUGAAACAGUUUCUGAAACCGGACGCCUACAAUCAGUCGGAGGCUCCUUGAGAGCUGACGGCGUACCUUUUGUAUAAUGGGUCAGCGACUUAUGUUCAGUGGCGAGGUUAACCGUUUAGGGGAGCCGUAGGGAAACCGAGUCUGAAUAGGGCGAUUUAGUCGCUGGGCAUAGACCCGAAACCGGGCGAUCUAUCCAUGAGCAGGUUGAAGGUGCCGUAACAGGCACUGGAGGACCGAACCCACCUAUGUUGAAAAAUGGGGGGAUGAGCUGUGGCUCGGAGUGAAAGGCUAAUCAAGCCCGGAGAUAGCUGGUUCUCCUCGAAAACUAUUUAGGUAGUGCCUCGCGUUUGACUGCUGGGGGUAGAGCACUGUGUCGGCUAGGGGGUCAUCCCGACUUACCAACCCGAUGCAAACUCCGAAUACCAGUAAGUUUUAUCGCGGGAGACAGACGGCGGGUGCUAACGUCCGUCGUCAAGAGGGCAACAACCCAGACCACCAGCUAAGGUCCCUAAUAUCAGUUAAGUGGGAAACGAUGUGGGAAGGCUUAGACAGCUAGGAGGUUGGCUUAGAAGCAGCCAUCCUUUAAAGAUAGCGUAACAGCUCACUGGUCUAAAUAAGCUGUCUUGCGGCGAAGAUGUAACGGGGCUCAAGCCAUGAGCCGAAGCUGAGGAUGCACAUAGUGCAUGGUAGCGGAGCGUAGUGUGACAUAGUUCCAUGCGUCUUUAGCCUUCUUCGGAAGGCGUUGGACGCAAGGAGCUUUCAGUGAAGCGGGCGCGUGAGCGAUCCCGUGGAGAGAUCACUAGUGAGAAUGAUGACAUGAGUAGCGACAAACAGGGUGAGAGACCCUGUCGCCGAAAGUCCAAGGGUUCCUGCUUAAAGCUAAUCUGAGCAGGGUAAGCCGGCCCCUAAGUCGAGGCAGAAAUGCGUAGACGAUGGGAACCACGUUAAUAUUCGUGGGCCAGGAGGAUGUGACGGAUCAUGAAGGUUGUUCACUCUUAUUGGAUUGAGUGGGCCGCUAAUUGGUUCCUGGAAAUAGCCCUCCAUCAGACCGUACCCUAAACCAACACAGGUGGACUGGUAGAGAAUACCAAGGCGCUUGAGAGAACUAUCUUGAAGGAACUCGGCAAAAUACCUCCGUAAGUUCGCGAGAAGGAGGCCC